GUGCCAGCAGCCGCGGUAAUACGGAGGGUGCAAGCGUUGUUCGGAAUUACUGGGCGUAAAGCGCGUGUAGGCGGCUUCUUAAGUCUGGUGUGAAAGCCCGGGGCUCACCCCCGGAAGUGCAUUGGAUACUGGGAAGCUAGAGUACCGGAGAGGAAGGUGGAAUUCCUGGUGUAGCGGUGAAAUGCGUAGAUAUCAGGAGGAACACCGGUGGCGAAGGCGACCUUCUGGACGGAUACUGACGCUGAGACGCGAAAGCGUGGGGAGCAAACAGGAUUAGAAACCCCCGUAGUCC
rnacentral:rRNA from 1 species